rnacentral:tRNA from 1 species
GGAUGUAGCUCAGUUGGUUAGAGCACCGGACU